rnacentral:rRNA from 1 species
CCUACGGGUGGCAGCAGUGGGGAAUAUUGCACAAUGGGGGAAACCCUGAUGCAGCGACGCCGCGUGAGUGAAGAAGUAUUUCGGUACGUAAAGCUCUAUCAGCAGGGAAGAAAAUGACGGUACCUGACUAAGAAGCAUCGGCUAACUCCGUGCCAGCAGCCGCGGUAAUACGGAGGAUGCGAGCGUUAUCCGGAUUUAUUGGGUUUAAAGGGUGCGCAGGCGGCCUGUUAAGUCAGCGGUAAAAGCCCGGGGCUCAACCCCGGCGAGCCGUUGAAACUGGCGGGCUGGAGUUGGAGAGAAGUACGCGGAAUGCGCGGUGUAGCGGUGAAAUGCUUAGAUAUCGCGCAGAACCCCGAUUGCGAAGGCAGCAUACCGGCGCCCAACUGACGCUGAAGCACGAAAGCGUGGGUAUCGAACAGGAUUAGAUACCCGUGUAGUC